CCUACGGGAGGCAGCAGUGGGGAAUAUUGGACAAUGGGCGAAAGCCUGAUCCAGCCAUGCCGCGUGUGUGAAGAAGGCCUUCGGGUUGUAAAGCACUUUCAGUGGGGAAGAAAGCCUUGGGGCUAAUACCCUCGAGGAAGGACAUCACCCACAGAAGAAGCACCGGCUAACUCCGUGCCAGCAGCCGCGGUAAUACGGAGGGUGCGAGCGUUAAUCGGAAUUACUGGGCGUAAAGCGCGCGUAGGCGGUCUGAUAAGCCGGUUGUGAAAGCCCCGGGCUCAACCUGGGAACGGCAUCCGGAACUGUCAGGCUAGAGUGCAGGAGAGGAAGGUAGAAUUCCCGGUGUAGCGGUGAAAUGCGUAGAGAUCGGGAGGAAUACCAGUGGCGAAGGCGGCCUUCUGGACUGACACUGACGCUGAGGUGCGAAAGCGUGGGUAGCAAACAGGAUUAGAUACCCCGGUAGC
rnacentral:rRNA from 1 species